GACGAACGCUGGCGGCGUGCCUAAUACAUGCCAGUUGAGCGCUGAAGGUUGGUACUUGUACCAACUGGAUGAGCAGCGAACGGGUGAGUAACGCGUGGGGAAUCUGCCUUUGAGCGGGGGACAACAUUUGGAAACGAAUGCUAAUACCGCAUAAAAACUUUAAACACAAGUUUUAAGUUUGAAAGAUGCAAUUGCAUCACUCAAAGAUGAUCCCGCGUUGUAUUAGCUAGUUGGUGAGGUAAAGGCUCACCAAGGCGAUGAUACAUAGCCGACCUGAGAGGGUGAUCGGCCACAAUGGGACUGAGACACGGCCCAAACUCCUACGGGAGGCAGCAGUAGGGAAUCUUCGGCAAUGGACGAAAGUCUGACCGGGCAACGCCGCGUGAGUGAAGAAGGUUUUCGGAUCGUAAAACUCUGUUGGUAGAGAAGAACGUUGGUGAGAGUGGAAAGCUCAUCAAGUGACGGUAACUACCCAGAAAGGGACGGCUAACUACGUG
rnacentral:rRNA from 1 species